rnacentral:rRNA from 1 species
UACGGAGGGGGCUAGCGUUGUUCGGAAUUACUGGGCUUAAAGCGCACGUAGGCGGUUUUGUAAGUUAGAGGUGAAAGCCCGGAGCUCAACUUCGGAAUUGCCUUUAAGACUGCACAACUUGAAUGUCGGAGAGGUGAGUGGAAUUCCGAGUGUAGAGGUGAAAUUCGUAGAUAUUCGGAAGAACACCAGUGGCGAAGGCGGCUUACUAGACGAUUGUUGACGCUGAGGUGCGAAAGCGUGGGGAGCAAACAGG